rnacentral:rRNA from 1 species
GACGAACGCUGGCGGCGUGCUUAACACAUGCAAGUCGAGCGGAGCGGCGAACGGGUGAGUAACGCGUGAGUAACUGCCCCCCUCUCUGGGAUAACAGUUAGAAACGGCUGCUAAUACCGGAUCGUGGGGGAUGACUCGCGUCCUAUCCGCUUGUGGGUGGGGGAGUGGCCUCCAAAGGCGACGACGGGUUGCCGGCCUGAGAGGGCGACCGGCCACAUGGGGCGGAGAUACGGCCCAAACUCCUACGGGAGGCAGCAGUGGGGAAUAUUGCACAAUGGGGGAAACCCUGAUGCAGCAACGCGCGUGCGGGAUGACGGCCCUCGGGUUGUAAACCGCUUUCAGCCAUUACGCGGUAGUGGCAGAAGAAGCACCGGCUAACUACGUGCCAGCAGCCGCGGUAAUUC